GACGAAGGUGGCAAGCGUUAUUCGGAUUUACUGGGCAUAAAGCGCGUGUAGGCGGUCUUCUAAGUCUGAUGUGAAAGCCCUGGGCUCAACCCAGGAAGUGCAUUGGAUACUGGAAGACUUGAAUACGGGAGAGGGUAGUGGAAUUCCUAGUGUAGGAGUGAAAUCCGUAGAUAUUAGGAGGAACACCGGUGGCGAAGGCGGCUACCUGGACCGAUAUUGACGCUGAGACGCGAAAGCGUGGGGAGCAAACAGG
rnacentral:rRNA from 1 species